UUGAAAGGGCUUCACAAGAGCAACCACACCAUGACAAUUUAACCUGUGGCGACGGUUGGCACAAAAGUAAUAAAAGUGAAAUGAUGUCUGCCUUAGGAUUGGGAGAAGACGAAGAUGAAGAAUCUCCUUGGGAUUCUGAGAGUAUCUCUGCCAGUGUUUCACUAAAGGGUGUAGGUGUUUUAUCCGGGACUGCGGAUCGGACAGGAGAGACUAGAGUGCAUGGACACAUAGAAG